rnacentral:lncRNA from 1 species
AAUUAAUUAAAACCCUAAAAAAAUAGCCAUCUUCCUUGUACCCCUUUUACGAUCCACUGUGUCUCUACCUGCCGGAAAUUGUGUCAGCUGGCGGAAGAGCUCCAAGCGACCAAAAUUUUGCCAAUAUUUUUGCAGAAACUCCCCUUCCCCUCCUCUUUCCAACCCCCAACUUAGUUUUUCUCGAAUCCCAUCCAAUCGGUUUGAAUCUCCGAUCGAACGUUUCCGGGCAAAAUUCCACCAUUCCCAAAUUCCACCAAAUUAACACCAUAGACUCUCCUUAACUCUCUCAUACCAAGUACCCAAGCCAUAUUCUUCAAAUCUCAUCGGAAUUGUUCGAAUAUUAAAUCAAUGUUUUCCGGAGAAAACCUAAGUUCUCUAAAUAUUAUCAAAUUGGUAAUCCAUGAUCUCCCCAUCCUCCUCAUGUAGAAUCCAUCAGUGGCAAGGGUCAUACAUCAUCAAAAUUGGUCGAUUUUAUUUAAAAAAAAAUAUGUUGAGCCGUGCCAGUGAGUUUUCCUUCUCAAUUUUAUUAUUCUUGUUUUUUAAUUUUGUUUAUUAUUAGUUGGGUUCACGCUAUUAAUUAUGUUACUUUUAAUUUCUAUAUGAUUCUGAUUUUGUUUUAGUCUGGUUCAAUCCUAAUCUAAUUGUUGUUCUAUUAGAAUAAGUGUCUGGGCUAAUUCAUGAUUUUAGUAAUUAUUUUCUGCAUUGUUAUCAUAAUUGUUUCAAUUUCUUAUUAAAUUGUUUCUUACUGAUUUUUCUCUAGUUCAGUAUCGUUUUGAUUGUGAUUGGUGGUUUGUGUUGGUUUUUAGCAUAGUGUUAUGUUGAUUAUUGUUUGUUAAUUGAUAGAAUAAUAAGAGUUUGGAUAGUGAUUACAUUGUUACUGCUACAAUUCAUAUUUUUGUUAGUUAAUCAUGGAUUAAUCAGGGUUGGGAGUAUGUUAGUGAUUUGAGGAAUAAAGCAGGGGUGAUUAGGAUAAUUCAAGGGUAGAGGAUCUUUUAAUAAUGAACUAGAAUUCUCUGGAAUCCUAUAGAGUGGGUUGAAAUUGGAAUCUUAGGAAAACAUAGUGGGCUUACUUGUGUAAAAAGUUUAAAAAUAAAGGAUCAAGGCUGAAAAUGAUAAGGACUAACAAAGAAAAAUUGAAAUUCUGAUAGGCCUUACUUGUGCCUAUAAAAGGGCAUGAUCUUUACUUCAUUCACAAGUUUUUCAACUUCACCGUUCCCCCCAGAAACACUUCCCUUCAGAUCUAGUUUAGAUUUUGAAUUUCAAAUUACUAGUAAUUUAUAAUUCUCUUUAGAUCUGAAAUUUUCGAGUGGGUUUUGGUAGUAUCAAGCUAGAAUUUGGCUGUUUUCACUGGUUUUUUCUUCUAUUAUUCAUUGCUAGUAGCUGUGGUAUUUUGAGUUAUAAUUUGGAUAAGUUCUCUGGAUUUCAACUAUUGCUCGACUGUUUUUCCCUGGUGACUUCUUCUUUUCUUAUUUCAUUUCAAAUCCAAGUAUAUCUCAUGCUCAAAUGAUGUUGAAGAGUACCCUUACCUGUAGAAAACUAGUUUGAAGUAUGAAUGAAAAAGAAAUGCAUGUUUAUAUCUGAAUUUUCACUUUUAUUUGCCUAGUUUUAAACUCCGUGUGAUGAUUCAUUUGAGCCAGAGUUUCAGUUGUAUUAAUGAACAAACAUGUAUUAAUGUUAUAUAGGACUGUUCAUAUUGAUUAGGUUUGUUUGAGCUUAUUGAAUUGAGAAGCGGCUUAAUGCUAGGUUUAUAAUGUAGCUCAUAUUGCUUUAGUUAAUGUUUGUUAGUUAUUUUGUGUAUCUGUUAAUUGGCUCAUGUUAAUUAAACCAUAGAAUCUCUGGUAGUUGUUUCUAUUUUAAUCAAUAGCCUAACUGCUUGUGGAGAUGCUUUAGACCGUGCAAAACUUCAAUAAGAGGAAGUGUUUGGCUCAGUGACAGUAAAUCUGUUUAAGUUUCCAUGUUUAAUUAGGUAAUGGACAUCGUAUGUCCAUACUUCAUAUUAAGCACUCAUGAAUAUGUUGGUUUAGGUUUUGGAUUUAAAGUGAAAUCUCAUCAAAUUGGUUUAAAAGUAACUUUCUAAAGAUUGACAUUCCAUGCUUAGUGUAAGGCAUUAUUUCAAUUUGAACCUCGUCGUAGGCCCAAUGCAAACAGUCGGGCUUGUUGGCCUUUUAAUUCCACCAUUUCAAGGCCCAGACAACCAUACUCAACCAUACGGCUGAAAUACCCUUACCAACACCCUUGGUCCUGGACCCUUCGCCACGGGCCCAAAUUAUCUCAUCUCUUUGUAUGUGUGAUCGAGGCUGCUUUGGACAACCGUUGAAAAUACAUUGUUUUGCCGACUAGAUUGUUAGGCCUAAUUUAUUCGAACUCGAUUUACAUGAACUUAGCCUUUUCAAAUAUAUUAAUUAUACAGGAUUUCUUUUUUGUUAUAUUUUAGAGACAAUUUAGUAGAAAAUAUAGUUCACUUUAGAAUGUCCUUAAAUCAAAUGAGACGAGCCUCUCCAAGUAAAACAAAUAAAUUGCGGGGCCCUCAAUAAAUGGUUAUAAUAAAAUACUUAGAAUUCGAGAUGAGCCGUUUAGCGAAUUACACGGCUGUUCCCCGAAAAUAAUAACACGCUAGUCACUUUGGGCGCUAUUUAAUAAAUUACCUUCUUAAACUCGGGUGCGCAUUUAUGUGACCCAAAUCCAAAUCUCAAUGGAGUUGAAAUGUAUCGACAACCAUGGGUGCAUUGAUAUGACGUAGUUCGAGACACGUUUUCACGACUUUGCAAUUCUCAUUAAAGUAAUAAUGAUAAAAUCAGUUCAAAAUUAAAAAUGGCACAUAAGCUAAAAUAUGUUUUUAAAUCAGAUAAAUUCAAAUACAACAGUUGAGCGACCGUGCCAGAACCACGGAAACGGGAAUGCCUAACACCUUCUCCAGGGUAAACAUAAUUUCUUACUCAGAUUUCUGGUUCGCAGACUGUUAACAGAGUCAUAUUUUCCUCGGUUCGGGAUUAUACCGGUGACAUGGGACACCAUUAAUCUCCUAAGUGGUGACUCUGAAUUUCAAUGAUUAAAUCUUAUUCCGAAUGUCCUUUAAGUGGAAAAACUCUUUUAUGCCCCUGCAGGUGUAGUGAAAAAAGAGGUGUGACAGUUCUGGCGACUCUUCUGGGCAAUUAAAACCCAGAACUUCGGUUCAGGGUUUACGAAUUUGAGCUUAGAAUAAUUAUUAUAUUUGGGUAUAUCUGAUUUUCCUACAUGGUUCAUGCUAUAUGUUUUAAAUGUUUACCGUUUUGAUAUUUUUUGAAUUGUAUGUAAAUUGUGCUGAAACCUUCUCUUCUCACCUCCGGGGAUGUGCUUGCUGAUUGAGACUCCCUAUUCUGUUAGUGUCAUACCCAAAAAUAUGAAAUAGGCUCGGAUAAGUUACAAAGUCGGAUGAUCUUUCGGGUCCCGGGUACGUAGCCCCUUCCUCGAUUCGAGUUUUCCACUCGGGUACACUAUUUAGAACACAUACCCAGUUUUUGAACCUAGAAUAACUUGACUUCAUGUUGGAUCCCUAGUAGGAACGCUUAUUUGUAUCAUGUCGCAUUUGACUUAGGGGACUCAACACAGGGGUUGGGUCCGUCUAGGACAGGUAACCUGAAAUGAAAAAGCGUUCCUUGACUUCUCGGGUACACUAUUUAGAACACAUACCUAGGUUUUGAACCUAGAAUAACUUGACUUCAUGCUGGAUCCCUAGUAGGAACGCUUAUUUUCAUCAUGUUGCAUUUGACUUAGGGAACCCAACAAAGGGUUGCAUCUUGAUGCAUCUUACGUGUUGCAUAUGCAUUUAUAUGUCACAGACUUGCAUGUUGACCGGCUUUGGAGUAUUUAGGAAAAUUGAAAAGUGAGAAAUGGCACUGCAAACAGUUAAUUAUCUGUAUUAGAAAAAAUAACGAAUGCUCAAAUAUUAUCGAAACUCUACAAAAAUUUUGAGAAAAUGAAAAACAAAAUAUUUUUAAAUAGGUUGUUUUACUCAAAAAGCAAAAAAAAAAGAAAGUAAAAUAGUCUUAUUUUUGGUUUUUCUUGUUUUCAGAAUAGUUUAUUUGCCAACGGAAAAGAAAAAUAUAUUAUUUUUUUGUCUGUUGAAAAAGAAAAAGAAAAAGUCUUUUGUUUUAGUUUGGGAAAAUAGAUUGUCUUAUUAUUUGUUGAAAAGAAAAGAAACAUAAAAAGAGUCUUUGUUUUAGUUUGAAAAAAUAGAUUUUUUUAUUUUUUUUAAAAUAAAAGAAAAAAAGAGUCUUUGUUUUAUUUCGUAAAAACAGGUUGUUUUGGAAAAGAAAAGAAAAGAGUCUUGUUUUCGUAAAAUAGUUCAUUUUCUUUGCCCGAACUACACAGGUUUAAUUCUCAUAGGGUGUAAGAUACGUAGAUAAUCCUAAUCAAAUUUGACCAUAACCAUAAGAGAAAAAACAAAAAGAGUGAGGGAAGAAAAUAAAGAAAAAUAGAGAAAGGAAACAACCAAGAAAAUCAUGGCAAAGGAAGUCAAAAUGAAAAAGAAAAGAAAAGAGAGAAACUGAGAAAAAGAGUGAAAAGAAAGAAAAAUAAAUAAGAGAAAACAAAGAACCAAAAGAAAGGAACAAUGGCAAAACAAGAAAAAAUGAUAGAAUAAGAACAAAAGAAAGCAAAGGCAAGAAGAAAAAAGAAAAAGAAAGAAGAGAAAAAGAAAAAGAAAAAUUGCAAUCGGGAAUAAAGAAAGCCGGAAUGACGCAAGCAGUCGAGCUAAUGCAUAAUAGAAAUUGUCAAUGGUAUAAGUGCAUUCAUACCCCAAACGUGCUAUUACCAAUGUCUUAAAUGCCCUAACACUAACAUGAUCGUUUCGUUUCAGCAUAUCAUUUCAGAAAGGUUGUUGGUUUGUGGUUCUAAAGUAACGCUUCCUUGCAACACAAAGGCAAAAGACAAUGGCAGAGAAUAACACAACUGAGUGGGUUGGUAUCGAUGCCCGAAAACAGCUGGUUGAACAGGAUAACGGGUUGGUAGAAGAGGUAAAAAUACUAAGACAGCAUGUGGAAGACAUGUAUCGAGCAUGGAUGACUGGGAAUGCACCACCCCCGCCACCGCCUAGCUACCUGGACUUUGUCCAUAUCCAAACACCGAACACAAUGCUGGAUGAUCUUCCAUACUCUCCAUAUCUACCCACUUAUAAUAGCUUUCCCAACAACUCAGGAGCUCCAUCAUUCAUCAUCCAACUAUUUGUUCACAAUUGUGUCAUUCGGUCACACCCACUAUUCUCGACAAUAAACACCUACCUAGAGCUCAUGAUGCCCAACAUUACCCCUCUGAAGUUACUCAUAAGGUUCCCAACUCACAUAAGAAAGGCCCGCAAGAUUAGCCUCGUGUUGAAAAUGAAAGGUUCACCGAAAGAGAAGGUACAAAUAGGGAAUCCAGGAAGCUGAAAGAACACGGGACAAAUAAGGAAUCCAGGAAGCUGAAAGAACCGUAUAUGACUCUUGAUAUUUGCCUACCCAUGGGGUUUAAAGUACCAAAAUUCAGAUUAUAUGAUGGGUUUGGAGAUCCAGUAGCUCACCUGAGGGGUUAUCAUAUGGAAAUGAGAAAUGUUGGAGGGAAAGAUAAGCUGCUAAUGGCAUAUUUCAGUGAGAGCCUAAUCGGGGAAGCUUUGGAAUGGCAUACUCAUCAGGGUUUCAGUAAGCUGCACACGUGGGAUUACAUAGUUCCAGAUUUUGUUUGAUACUUUCAAUGUAAGUCAGGAGUCACCCUAGACAAUUCCUCCAUAUCUAGAAUGGAAAGUAGCCGGAGGACACUUUUAGAGAGUUUGAGCUUAGAUGGAGGGAGAAAGCUGCUCGAGUCAAUUCCCUGAUUAGUGAAGAAGAGAUGAAUGAACUUUUCAUAUAAGCCCAGGGGCCCACCUACUUUAGUCUUUUGAUCACGGCCUUCAAAAAGCCUUUCAAUGAUGUGUUAAAAAUGGGGGAGUGAGUAGAAGAGGGGAUCAAGACGGCCAAUAUAAGGAGUGGCUCGAAAGACAUUCAGGACAUAUCAGUAAGCUCGGAAAGGAGAAAGAGAAAUAGAAAAGAUGAUCCAAAGGGCUACCUGAUCAACACUUCCAACCUCAGCAUCAUACCUGUCAGUAUCCGCGUGCACUGGAUGACCCUCCCCAACGUUACUUCUCUCCAUGGGACACCCAAGGACAUACUUCACUUUCCAAGUAACCAGCUCCACAAAAUGCCUACCCACCCCCAUGAGCAUACCAGAAACCCCCUGGUUCAGGUUUUAGGCCAAAUUAGGCAUUUAGGAAUGAGAUGUCCUGAAACGAGAAAAGACUCCCACCCCUAUUGGAGAAUCAUAUGCCAGUUUGUUCCAGAAGUUGAAGCAAUUGGGCAUGUUGAAGCCGAUUCAGAUAAAAAUUCCAAACCCUCUGUCAAAGAAAUGUGAUUUUUCUCUAAAGUGCGCAUAUUUGCACCGGGGCAUGACACGGAAGUGUUUGAAGUUGAAGAAAGAAAUUCAAGAGCUUAUUGACGUAGGUGACAUUGUCAUACACAAUUCAGAUGCAACUGAAACCAGCCAAAAUCCAUCACCUGCGCAUAAUGAGAUAGACAUAGUGGGUAUAUUUAUUUUGAAAAGAAAUGUGAAAAUUCUGUGAGAACCUCAAAGGCCCAAAAACAACUUGUUGAGGAUGAUGUGAUGAAUACUUGUGAAGUUCCUAGUGUUGGUGAUGCAGAAUUCAGUGGCUAAGAUGAUGUUCUUGGUAAUUGGAAAGACGCUCCAUUCCUAAGACAACCAGGGAGGAGCUUUGGUGGUACAUUUUGUUGUCAUUUUUGUUGUCCAGGUUAUUUGCAGGGUUGUAAUCAGGAUAUUAUCUUGUGAUCAAACUCUCUUAUCCUUUCAUUUUGUCUAGCUAAUUUAGCUGUAGUGGUUUCUUUAGUGUUGUCAGGGUUUGUUUCAGUUUCAUUCUAGGGUGUACUCCAAUUUGUUGUGCUUGCUUCGUUAUUCGAACUGUUUCAUCAUUUGUUUAAUGCAAAUUCCGAUCUUUUGUUACUUCCAGGCAUUUUUUUUUAUUUUUUUAUCCUUUUAUUUUGUCUUUUGUCUAAUGCUGGUUCUAGUGACAUGACAUGCACGCAUCAUUCCCAGUCUGAUCUUUAAAAGUUAGUCAGGAAGCGAUUAAAUCAUUUUGAAGAUAAUAGGGGCACUUGAGGGAAAUAAGAACAGAUUUGAAUAUUUUGAAAUUUUUUGAAGCCCAAACCAUGUAAAACUGGGGUAGAUAGAGCAUAAAGAAACUCUAAAGGAAGGUGUGCCAAAUUGAUAGAGGUCGUUCGCGGUAAUGAGAGUGAAAGUGUUGUCCAAUAUAUAUGGAAGGAAAAUAUGUAGAAAUGGACAUCAAUUUUGAUGCGGUCAAGAGAUACUAUGUAUAAUUUCUGUGUUUAAACGUAUUUAUUUGUAUUUGGCAUAUUUUGAGGAUUGAUAUGACAAAGGUAUUUUGUUCUGCUAUCCAAACACUUGAUCCCUUGUCACCCCUUUUGAGCCAUGUUUGUUUUAGUUCACACCCCUAUCUUGGAAUCAAUAGCACAAUUAAGAAAUUUUUCUUCUUGAAGAUGAAUACAUAAAGAGAAAAGGAAAGAAAGAAAAAGGAAGAAGGAAAAGAAAGAAAAGAAAAGAAAAAGAGAAAAGGAAAGAAAUAAAGAAAAAAGAAGAAGAAUGAAAAGAAAGAAAAUAAAAGAGGAAAGGAACAAAGAAUAAGGAGAAGAAAGAAAGGAAAAGAAAAGAAACUGAAAAGAAAAGAAGAACAAAAAAGAAAAUGAAGCGAAAAAAAUAAACAAAAAAAAGUAAACUCUAUGAUAUAAACUACGUUUGACUUGAUCCCGAAAGGGUACUUAUGCAGCUUUUCCCUGAGGUUCGGUCAUACAAAAAUAAAAAUCCAAAAAUUCCUAAGCAAGAAACUAGGGCAGAAGUUGUGGUUGUUGUGAAAGAUCUGAUUCUGAAAGUUGUAGUUUUUAACCCCAUUCUGAAUUGUAUUUGAGCCUUUAUACCAUUUCUUUCUAAACCUCAUCCAAAAUCCCACUACGGUCUAAAGAAAGCCCUUCAUAUCAGUCUUCGAGAAAUGUCAAGGCGAGCAAGUAGAGGGGAAUCAUAUCAAGGGCAACACUCCAGACCAAACAAGGAAAAUAAAAAUGAGAGAGCCGGAUUAAUGAAAAACCCUCACGGGUACUGCAAGACGAUGAAAGCUGAGAAAAAUAAAAUGAGAGAGUCUUAUUUGUGAAAACAUUCAUGGGAACCUUGAGGCGAUGGUAAGUUGAGAGAAAGAUCAAAAUGAGAGAGGCUUGAUGGUGAAAAUCAUUCGGGCACUAAAAAUCGAAUCAGAAAUGUAAAUUGGAUUGGAUAAGCGCAGCAUUGAACCCCAGUUUCACAUAAAAAAGGUGCAACAACAUCUGGACAUCAGGUUUGAUUGGCAGAAUAUUUACAGGUACUUGUCAUGUUCAUUAGAGUCGGUAUCCAAAUCUGAAAUGUUUCUCUAUAGGAAUCAUCUCUUUCCUUUGUCUUUCACUUCGUUCCUCUGUUUUUUUCAUUUCCUCUUUCUGAGUCUGUUUGAUCAUAACAAGCGAUAAAUGACUUCAAAAUUUUCCACCAGCUUUCCAAUUGCCCAAAAUAGGUCUAGCUAGCACAUCAAAGUGUCACAAGACAAUAAAAACAACAAAGAACAUUGCGCUGGUAAUAAUGAACAUACUUUGGGGAUCCUGGUAAAACACAAAGGUUUGGCAGAUAUCAGUUCAUGUUAAAUGCAACAUAUAGAAGGUACUGGAUUUGAACGAAUAAGCGGUAUUUUCUGCAAUAAGGAUAACAGAGAGAGUGGAAAGUUAGUAAGCAAGCAAUGAAGGUGAAAUCAAAAUUGUCAUGGAAAGAAAAAGAGCGAUAAAGCUCAAGGUCGAAAGGAUAGGGGUGUAAUUUAAGAAACAACAACCUACUAUGAGAGGCAAUGGAUGUGCUUUCAAAUUCCGGUGAGACACAAAGGUUGGGAAGACGCCACUUCAACAAAUAGAGGAUAUUGAGUCUAAACCGGGAAAAUGGGUAUUUUAUAUGAUGAGGACGACAGAAAAAGGGGUUGGUUCAUGAACAAGCAAGGUCUUCGAGUUGAAACCAGUCAUCAUGGCAAGUUCAGAAGAAAUAGUUGCAAAGUUCAAGGCCACAAACCAACCACCAUCUAAAACUGGCAAAAUUUUUUUUGGUUGAAACAGGGGCAGAAAAUUUGGUUGUUCCGGAGGAACUCUCCAUAAGGUAAAAACAACAAGUAAUCAGGUUCGAAUGCAAAGCGAUGUUUGAUCAAAAUACAAGAUAUUAAGAAAUAACAUAGGGGAAUGUAAGUUGGUCGCAAAGUUGGAAUAUUUAGGUUAAAAUUCAAGUACACGUUUUCAGGACCAUCCUGGAUAAUAGGAUGUAGUAGUUUAAAAUCCUUGUACAUGACAUGAUGUAGUGAGAAUAAUACUUUAAAAGAUAUAACUUAGGUUCGUAAUUGUUAGAAGUUGUCAGGACCUCCCUAGAUAAUAGGAUUUAGCUUUCAAAUUCUUAAUAAUAGUUGGUAUAUGAUUCAGUAACACUCACACGUGCGCCCAACUACCAAACAGGGGCAGAAAAUUUUCUUUAUUUUGAUAAAGUCAGGAACCUGCCUGGAUAGCAUGGGAAUACUUUCAAGUUUUGAAGUUAGGAGCCCGCCUGGACAGCAUGGGAAUACAUUUAAGAGCAGCGGUCAG